rnacentral:rRNA from 1 species
AGAGUUUGAUCAUGGCUCAGGAUCAACGCUGGCGGCGUGCCUAAUGCAUGCAAGUCGAACGGUAGCACUUCGGUGCUGCCGUGGCGAACGGCUGAGGAACACGUGCGUAUCCACCUCCUCGUGGGGAAUAACCCGUGGAAACACGGGCUAAUACCGCGUACGCUUGGCGCAAGCCAAGGAAAGCCUUCGGGUGCGGGGAGCGGAGCGCGCGGCCCAUCAGGUUGAUGGCGGGGUAAUGGCCCACCAUGCCGAUGACGGGUCGCUGGUCUGUGAGGACGGCCAGCCAGACUGGGACUGCGACACGGCCCAGACACCUACGGGAGGCAGCAGUGGGGAAUAUUGCGCAAUGGGCGAAAGCCUGACGCAGCGACGCCGCGUGCGGGAGGAAGCCUUUCGGGGUGUAAACCGCUGUCACCGGGGAAGAACGGCGUAGGGAGGAAAUGCCUUACGUGUGACGGUACCCGGGGAGGAAGCACCGGCUAACUCUGUGCCAGCAGCCGCGGUAAUACAGAGGGUGCGAGCGUUGUUCGGAAUUACUGGGCGUAAAGCGCGCGCAGGCGGCCGUUUAAGUCUCACCGUUCAAGCCCGGAGCUCAACUCCGGUCCGCGGGGGAUACUGGACGGCUAGGGACAUGUAGGGGCGAGCGGAAUUCCGGGUGUAGCGGUGGAAUGCGUAGAGAUCCGGAAGAACACCGGGGGCGAAGGCGGCUCGCUGGGCAUGGUCCGACGCUGAGGCGCGAAAGCGUGGGGAGCGAACAGGAUUAGAUACCCCGGUAGUCC